rnacentral:rRNA from 1 species
UACGUAGGGUGCAAGCGUUAUCCGGAAUUAUUGGGCGUAAAGAGCUCGUAGGCGGUUUGUCACGUCUGCUGUGAAAACUGGAGGCUCAACCUCCAGCCUGCAGUGGGUACGGGCAGACUAGAGUGCGGUAGGGGAGAUUGGAAUUCCCGGUGUAGUGGUGAAAUGCGUAGAUAUCGGGAGGAACACCAGUGGCGAAGGCGGCAUCCUGGCCCUGUCCUGACGCUCAGGGGCGAAAGCGUGGGGAGCAAACCGG